GAUGAAGAACGUAGCGAAAUGCGAUAAGUAAUGUGAAUUGCAGAAUUCAGUGAAUCAUCGAAUCUUUGAACGCAUCUUGCGCUCCUUGGUAUUCUGAGGAGCAUGCCUGGUUGAGUGUCAUUAAAUUCUCAACUACACUGACUUUGAAUUGGUGUGGCUUGGAUUUGGGGGGAAAAUUGUUGUGGGCUUUUUGUAUAGUCUGCUCCCCUGAAAUUGAUUAGCGGUACCUUUGUGGAACUGUCUACAGGUGUGAUAAUUAUCUACAUCUUAGACAUCUGCUGGAAUGCUGCUUUCUAAACCUUACUUGUAUUGACAAUCUUGACCUCAAAUCAGGUAGGACUACCCGCUGAACUUAAGCAUAUCAAUAAGCGGAGGA
rnacentral:misc_RNA from 1 species